GUGAUGAUUCCCCUUUUCCCUAAAUCAUUAGGCUGAUGGUAUCUUGAAUCAUUAUAUUCAAAUAUGAAAACACACUUUAAUAAAUAAUUGUACUUAGAACAAUAUAACAUCUAUACAUCAUAUAGCAGAGAAUUCAUAGAAACUUUUUUCCUCCCAGUUUGUUUACCAUAGAAAUCAAAUAAAAAUUGAAUUAAGCAUGUAUUUCUUCUUAUGCCACAGUGCUCCCUAGGUGCCACUUAUAAAAUAGGUGACAUAUAGAGAUUCAAUGUCAAUUCUUUAUGUCUACAUGAUGCUGAAAGUGACUUCAGAAUUUAUUUUUACCGUAAUGCUAAAGUCAACCAAUAUAAAAAAGAAAGCUCUCUGUACCUUGUAGUUCACAUACUUUUUCUUUAUGGAUGACUGUUGUUGUUUCUGGAACCCUGGGUCUUUUGGGAAUGCAAGGAUAUUAACAAUUUGGUGAAUGUGACCUUGAUAAUAAGGCCAAGUUGCAUACUUGGGCUCCUUGCCACUUUAGUGAUUUUCCCGGUAUCUGGCAGUAUCAGAGGUUUUCAUUACUGUACCUUCAUGGCUCCAUUAUCCUUUACUGUCACAGGGCAGUUGCAGGAGCACCUUGGAAUCAGAUGGUGCCCUGCAUGUCACAAAGUGAUGGUGUUAGAGGUGGGGGCCUUUGGGAUGUGAUUAGGUCAGCAAGGUGAAGCCCUCAUAAAUAGGAUUAGUGCCUUUAUAAAAGAGACCCCAGAGGACUCCCUUGCCCUUUCUGCCAUGUGGAGACACAGUGAGAAGUUGGCUGCCUAUGAACCAGGGAGUGGGCCCUCAUCAGACACCGAAUCUUCCCGGCACCUUGAUCUUCAACUUCCCAGCCUCCAGAACUAUGUGAAAUAAAUUUCCACUGUUUAUAAGCUAGCUGAUCUGUGGUAUUUUUGUUGCAGCAGCCUGAAUGGACUAAGACAGUGGUCUUAGGCUGACGGAGCUAGGACAAUUUGGAGUCUGCUGAGGUUUGACCUACACCCUCGCUGCAGUGAAUUAGGACCUUCAGUUUGGCAGUAAUGUACAUAUCUGAGGCCUCUUGAGGCCCCCUGUCCCUGAUUACAUGGAUUUUGCAGUGCAUCGGCAUUCUGAUGAUCUCUUUGACCCCGAUGUCAUGCUUAUUGUCUCCUGGGGUUUGGGGAAUCUGAUCAGACUUCGGAGUCCUCCGGUGAAUUUGGCUUUAAGUCCCAUCUCCUAUCUUGUGCCUGCCCACCCACCAUCUUCUAUUGUCGGUGAAAACUUUCCUCAGUCUUUGUGUAUGAGAAGUCGGCUUGGGGAGAGACCUUCUGUCCACCCACGUUGCCUUCUAACCCCACGUUUCUCAGGUUAGCAGUCAGGCGGUCUAACGUUAGGGUUAAAGCCCGAGGCAGACAUGGAGUGGUUUGCGUUUGAUAGAGCAUCAGGCGGCUUUCCAUGGGGCUGUCAGCGGACGGACUUGUGCUACCUGCUGGCGCAGCUGCAGCCCGGAAUCGUAGUGGCCGCUCCGGGGAACUUUGAAAUGAACAGGACUUUCACUGGAGAGGCGCCUUAGAAGAACACACCAACAGAAAAACAGCAGACAAACCCUCGAGAGGAGAGCCUCUGUGUUCUUCGUCUAAAAGAGACCACUUUGUUUAGGUAGACCACUCACCUUUCAUGUCAUUCUUAAGGGCUUUUUCACUGUGUGGCUAACAUUUCAACUUUCUCUUCUCCGUGAAGAGGAAGGCAAUCAGCCUUUUCCAGGGGUACUUUCACGGUAGUAUUAUCAAACUCAGUAACCGAGGAGGCCCAUCAGACAGGGGCUUUAAUGCCUUAGCAGCCUCUGUAGGCAAACCAAAGCCUAGGCCUGUAGCGCCCCGGGGCUGAGAGUUGCGACCGCAAACCCUCGGGCCCCAGCCACCCACCAGGCUUCCCAAAGAAGGCGCCCGCGGAAGCCGCAGCCCGCCGAGUGAUCGCCUUGCUUGGCCUCUGCCUCUUCUCUACAAAGUCUUCCCCUGGCUCCCGCUGGUGGGCUGUUCCUGACCACUUCCCAUUUGCUGCUGCCAGAUUUUAACCCAUUUUUGCUCAAAGUCAAAAUUUUUAAUAUGCCUCAAUUUAUCUUUUAAUGGUAUAAAGCUGGCUCUAGCUCACCUUUUUUCCUAUUUCUCUUUUUCCUCUCACUUGAAAAUUUUUAAAGAUGAAUUCAGAAAAAAAUAAUUUUGUCAUAUGUGCAAUCUAGGACUAUCUGGUGCAAAUGAAUAUCCAAAAUGGCUAAGAGAAAAAAGCCAAUAAACUAUUUGUGCUGCUUUUGCGUAAAAUGUGGAUGAGCGAAUUUAAAUAAUAGCCUUUGCUAUUAUGGUUAUAAGCAGAAAGGUUUUAAGAUAAAAGAGGAGCUUUUAAAUAUGAUUUAAUGAUUAUGAAUAUAAGGUUUAUAAAGUAUUUUUAAAAAAGGUUUAUGAAAUAUUUCCGGUAAGUGGAUGAAUUUGGGCAAACGAAUGAAUAUUUCUUUAAAUCAACUAUAUGUCUUCUCCAGAAAAUGUGCAAUUAGCCCUUGGAUACUUGCAUAAUUUAUAAGUGAAAAAUGGUACAAAGCUUUGGUCACUAAAGAUAGUUUCAAUGUAUCUUUAUUCUUAUACAUUUAUAAAGUGACUGGAUUAAAAGAAUAUGCAAAUGUUUUGGAUGAUACCAUAUAUGUGUAUUUUGCCAUUGUAAAACUUAACAGAGGUACCAUAUAAUGUGUACACAUAAGAAUUUAGCUAGAGACUUCUUGGUUUUUUGUCUUUUAGUUUCCUCUGUGGAGAAAAUAGUUGAUCCCUUUGGUUAAAAGUGAUUAAUAAAAAUAAGAUAUACUUUGUAUAAUAAUUACGGAAAAAUAUGAAAAUAUACACACAUAGAAGAUAAUGAGUAUGAAUUUUUCCUCAAGGAAACUGUUAAAGUGGU
rnacentral:lncRNA from 1 species